CCUACGGGUGGGCAGCAGUGGGGAAUAUUGGACAAUGGGCGAAAGCCUGAUCCAGCCAUGCCGCGUGUGUGAAGAAGGCCUUCGGGUUGUAAAGCACUUUCAGUGGGGAAGAAAGCCUUGGGGCUAAUACCCUCGAGGAAGGACAUCACCCACAGAAGAAGCACCGGCUAACUCCGUGCCAGCAGCCGCGGUAAUACGGAGGGUGCGAGCGUUAAUCGGAAUUACUGGGCGUAAAGCGCGCGUAGGCGGUCUGAUAAGCCGGUUGUGAAAGCCCCGGGCUCAACCUGGGAACGGAAUCCGGAACUGUCAGGCUAGAGUGCAGGAGAGGAAGGUAGAAUUCCCGGUGUAGCGGUGAAAUGCGUAGAGAUCGGGAGGAAUACCAGUGGCGAAGGCGGCCUUCUGGACUGACACUGACGCUGAGGUGCGAAAGCGUGGGUAGCAAACAGGAUUAGAUACCCUGGUAGUC
rnacentral:rRNA from 1 species